CAAUUCGAUAUGGUCUGAUUUGUUGAUUAUUUUGUUUUUUGUUUUGUGGUUAUUUUUUAUGUAGGUGAAGUAUUUUUAGGUUGUUGUAUGGGUUGGAUUUAAUUAUUUUACUAUAGUUUAUUUGUACCGUGAGGGGUCAAUAUUUUAAUAUUUUUUUGGAAGUUGAUUUUGUUUUUUGUACCUUGUGUAUCAGGGUUCAUUGAAUUUUAUUAUUUAUUUUUAUUUCCCGAUUUUGAAGGAGUUAAUGGCUUAUGCUAGUUACUGUUUCAUUAGUAUUAGUAAUGAGUUGUUGGUAGUGAAAUGUUAUUCGUCUUUGGUGGUUUCUGGUUUUUCAAGAAAUGAAUUUAAUUCAUGCAUUUUGUUUAAAUUUUAUUUUUAAUUUAUUUGUUUUUAUUUGAUGUUAAGAUUAAGGGGGAUUAGCUCCUUGUUUUAUUUUUAUAAUUUGUUAUAGUUAAUUUAGUUUUGUGGAUUUUAUAGUGAUUUUCUAUUUGAUUAUGUUAAAAUUUUAUUUGUAUUUUUAUUUAUUUUUUAUUAUUUAAGUUUUAUAUUGAAAUGUUUUCUUUAAUUUUGUUUUGUAUAGUAAUUAUUGUGUAAUUAGUAAAUUUUAUUUGUUGUUUUGUGUAUAGCAUUGAUGUUAAUUUCUUUUUAGGAAUUCGGCAAAUAUUAUGUUCGCCUGUUUAACAAAAACAUCUUUUCUUGUUUAGUUUUUGAAGUAUGGCCUGCCCACUGACAUUUGUUGAAGGGCCGCGGUAUUUUGACCGUGCAAAGGUAGCAUAAUCAUUAGUUCUUUAAUUGUGAUCUGGUAUGAAUGGCUUGACGAGACAUUAGCUGUCUUAGAGGUAUUUUUUAUUGAAUUUAGUUUUUGAGUUAAAAUUCUUAAAUGUUUUUAUGGGACGAGAAGACCCUAUAGAGUUUGACAAGAUUUUUAUUUGUAUGAAUUGUUUGUUUGAUUGAUAGUGAUUAAUAAUCUUGUUUUGUUGGGGUGAUGGGAGGAAUUUAUUUAACUCCUCUUUGGUUUAUUAUAUUUAUUUAUAUUUCUUUUGAUCCAAUUAUUUUGAUUAUUAGAUUAAAUUACCUUAGGGAUAACAGCGUUAUUCUCCUUGAGAGUUCUUAUUGGCAGGAGGGAUUGCGACCUCGAUGUUGGAUUAAGGUGAAUUUUUGGUGUAGAAGCUGAAAGUGGUUAGGUCUGUUCGACCUUUAAAAUCUUACAUGAUCUGAGUUCAGACCGGCGUGAGCCAGGUUGGUUUCUAUCUAUAAAGUCUUAUUAUACCUUAGUACGAGAGGACCGGGUAUUUGGAAUAAUUUCGUUUAUAUUGGAUUUUGUUAAUGUGUUACUAUUUUGGCAGAUAAGUGCGUUGGAUUUAGAAUCUAUU
rnacentral:rRNA from 1 species